rnacentral:lncRNA from 1 species
CUACAUACUUUUGGUAGGGUGUUGAGUUGUUCCAUCCCAGUUGACUUGAUUAGUCAGUACUUGCAUACAGUUGAGAGGAUGUAGAGUCGUUCCAUCCUAGUUGAUCUGAGUGGUCAGUCUUUGUGGUUCAUUGAGCAGUAUUUACAUAUGUUUGAGAGGAUGUUGAUGUUGUCCCAUCCUAGUUGACCUGAGUGGUCAGUUCUUACGCUUCCUUACAGUUGAUGACCUAUACGGGUUUCUUACCCUUACUCUUCUGUUGCUAUUAUUGCAGAGUAUAUAUUGAACCUUGCACCUGCAUUUAUAUCUGCACUCCUCUACUCAGUUAUUUUCAUGUCGAUAUCAUGCUUAGAAGUAGAAUUGACUUAUCUGUUCACUAUAUCUGUGAUUUGGUUGGGCGGUUCCCCUAUUUUGAUAUCUAUGACCUAUUCGGUCGAGUUGCUACAGUUCUAUCUUGACUUACGUAGCCGACUAGUUGCUGAUGACCUAUACGGUCGAUGUGCCCUGAGGGGCUGGAUUGUCGGCUAGUUGCCGAUGGAAGAUCUUUGAGCAUACUACAUUGAUCGCCACUACAGGUACGCAUUUCACGAACACCAGCGGUCUGAUCCACCGCAAGAGGGUGUUCUUUUCCGGAAAAGUGGUUGGAAUGCCAACCCGUGAGCCCAGGGGCUUUAUUGCGAGGGUAUAUGCUUCUGACCCAGGGGCUUCAUUGCGAGGGUCAGGUACUAUGCUUCUGACCCAGGGGCUUCAUUGCGAGGGUCAGGUACAGGUUGAGCAGUGUGGCAUGGGCCUGAGGUCUUCGGACCAAUAGGGCAGCGAGAUUGGGUACUUUUGAGGUUAUCGUCAGUUGACGCAUGCAUACAGUAGCUGUAGUGUUUAUUUCCAGUACAUCCUUAUCUGUUUAUUGUAGCUACUGUUUUAUUUACCUGCAUCUAUACUUGUCAGCUCCUUACUUAUCAGCAUCUUUACUUACCAGCAC